UUGGCGGACGGGUGAGUAACGCGUGGGGCAACCUGCCUUACACAGGGGGAUAACACUUAGAAAUAGGUGCUAAAACCGCAUAAGCGCACAGCUUCGCAUGAAGCGGUGUGAAAAACUCCGGUGGUGUAAGAUGGACCCGCGUCUGAUUAGCUUGUUGGCGGGGUAACGGCCCACCAAGGCGACGAUCAGUAGCCGGCCUGAGAGGGCGGACGGCCACAUUGGGACUGAGACACGGCCCAGACUCCUACGGAAGGCAGCAG
rnacentral:rRNA from 1 species